CCUGGUAGUCCACGCCGUAAACGAUGUCGACUUGGAGGUUGUGCCCUUGAGGCGUGGCUUCCGGAGCUAACGCGUUAAGUCGACCGCCUGGGGAGUACGGCCGCAAGGUUAAAACUCAAAUGAAUUGACGGGGGCCCGCACAAGCGGUGGAGCAUGUGGUUUAAUUCGAUGCAACGCGAAGAACCUUACCUACUCUUGACAUCCAGAGAACUUAGCAGAGAUGCUUUGGUGCCUUCGGGAACUCUGAGACAGGUGCUGCAUGGCUGUCGUCAGCUCGUGUUGUGAAAUGUUGGGUUAAGUCCCGCAACGAGCGCAACCCUUAUCCUUUGUUGCCAGCGGUUCGGCCGGGAACUCAAAGGAGACUGCCAGUGAUAAACUGGAGGAAGGUGGGGAUGACGUCAAGUCAUCAUGGCCCUUACGAGUAGGGCUACACACGUGCUACAAUGGCGCAUACAAAGAGAAGCGACCUCGCGAGAGCAAGCGGACCUCAUAAAGUGCGUCGUAGUCCGGAUUGGAGUCUGCAACUCGACUCCAUGAAGUCGGAAUCGCUAGUAAUCGUGGAUCAGAAUGCCACGGUGAAUACGUUCCCGGGCCUUGUACACACCGCCCGUCACACCAUGGGAGUGGGUUGCAAAAGAAGUAGGUAG
rnacentral:rRNA from 1 species